rnacentral:snoRNA from 1 species
UGUUCAUCUGCGGCAAGGAUCUUCCAAAGCUCACAAAGUCAGUGCUGUUGUCACCUUUGUCUCUGCUUCAAACAUCAGAGUUCGAAGUUGAAAAACAGCACAACAUUU